AUUCAAAAGUUCCAAAAACUAUUUCUAAUCUAUAAUUAUUACUUAUAUGAUUCUAAUGUCAUAAAUCGAUAUGGAUCACCAUAAAAAUAUAUUUAAAUCAUACCUGAGCACCGUGAUUCAACCUGUGAGAUGUUUUUAAGUUCUUCUCGAAAUCUCGAAUUCUUCGACCGUUGACAACACGAACUAAACCCUUCAAGACUCCGACUCAAAUCACGAAACUUGCCAAUACAAAAUCCCUAACAAUCUCCCCCUUUGGCAAUUUCAUGACAAAACCCAAAAACACAUGAAAAAUGAAAAAUGAAGUUCAAUGUCAUCACCAAAAUAUCGAACUACUCGCAUAUAAGAUCCAAACAAAAUUACAUAUGCACUCCUAAGACAGAUUCUAUGGCUUAGACACAACUAA
rnacentral:lncRNA from 1 species